rnacentral:rRNA from 1 species
UACGUAGGUGACAAGCGUUGUCCGGAUUUACUGGGCGUAAAGAGCGCGCAGGCGGUCGUUCAAGUCGAGUGUGAAAGCCCCCGGCUCAACUGGGGAGGGUCACUCGAUACUGAUCGACUCGAAGGCAGGAGAGGGAAGUGGAAUUCCCGGUGUAGUGGUGAAAUGCGUAGAUAUCGGGAGGAACACCAGUGGCGAAGGCGACUUCCUGGCCUGUUCUUGACGCUGAGGCGCGAAAGCUAGGGGAGCAACGGG